UAUGCACACAAAACCCAAAGUUCAUCAUGUCUCCAAAUGAUGAUCUUGUCUGUUGUGCAAAAAGUAAAGGUACCUUGUCGCCUUUCUUGAGCUGAUGUGCUCAUGGAAGUGAAACAGAAGGAGCCACAUUA